rnacentral:misc_RNA from 1 species
GAAAAAGUCUACCCCACCAUGGGGUCCGGAUCAGACAGCUGCAGUCAAAAGAUUAAAAGAAGUGGCACAGAACUCGCCACCUGUGAAGAUUCCCAGUACUGGCAACAGGAUCCUUCAAACAGACGCCAGCAAUACUCACUGUCGAGCUAUUCUCCUUGAAGAAAUCAAUGGUGAAAAUUUUCUACGUGGUCAUGCUAGUGGUCAGUUUACUGAGGCCCAGAAACAUUACCACUCUGUUUACAAGGAGAUAUUUGCUGUUAAAAAUUGAAUCAAAAAGUUCAAAUUCCAUCUGAUUGGGCACCAUUUUACUAUUAUCAUGGACAGCUCAUCCUUUUCAAAUAUCAUAGAUUUCAAGAAUAAAACUUUGCCAGAACCACAACUGUUGAGGCUCAAAGACUAGUUUUCCAAGUAUAAAUUCUCGGUUCAGCACAUCAAAGGAAAACAUAACCUCUUAGCAGACCUCCUUUCUCGCCCAAAAC